AGUGAACGCUGGCGGCGUGCCUAAUACAUGCAAGUCGAACGGAGUGGCGCACGGGUGAGUAAUGUAUAGCUAAUCUGCCCUACACUAGAGGACAACCGUUUGAAACGGUUGUUAAUACUCUAUAGUGUAGGUUGGGGCUAUAUUGUAUCAGCUAGUUGGUGAGGUAAUGGCUCACCAAGGCUAUGACGCAUACCUGGUUUGAGAGGCUGAUCAGCUACGCUUGAAGGUAGAGACGGUCCAGACUCCUACGGGAGGCAGCAGUAGGGGAGUGUGCUCAAUGGGGGCAAAACUGAAGAAGCAACGCCGCGUGAAGGAUGACACGUUGCGGAGCGUAAGCUCCUGUUAUUAGGGAAGCGGUACCUAACGAAUAAGCACCGGCUAACUCCGUGCCAGCCGCCGCGGUAAUUC
rnacentral:rRNA from 1 species